AUUGAACGCUGGCGGCAUGCCUUACACAUGCAAGUCGAACGGCAGCACGGGAGCAAUCCUGGUGGCGAGUGGCGAACGGGUGAGUAAUAUAUCGGAACGUGCCCGGUCGUGGGGAUAACGUAGCGAAAGCUACGCUAAUACCGCAUACGAUCUAUGGAUGAAAGCGGGGGAUCGCAAGACCUCGCGCGAUUGGAGCGGCCGAUAUCAGAUUAGGUAGUUGGUGAGGUAAAGGCUCACCAAGCCGACGAUCUGUAGCUGGUCUGAGAGGACGACCAGCCACACUGGGACUGAGACACGGCCCAGACUCCUACGGAGGCAGCAGUGGGAAUUUUGGACAAUGGGCGCAAGCCUGAUCCAGCAAUGCGCGUGCAGGAUG
rnacentral:rRNA from 1 species